ensembl:lncRNA
AUCUACGGCAAUAUGAAAAACAUCUCAUUGUUCUUUUUGUUCUGGAUCGCGGAAGGUGUGUUUGGUGAAAUCGUCUCAGAGAAAGAGGGAAAUUCUAUUACGCUACGCUCUGGUCUCACUGAAAUAAAGAAAGACGAUGUGAUAGAUUGGAGGUUUGGAGGCAUUCUCAUAGCUAGAGUAAGAAAUAAUAAUAACCCCUCAGUGUAUGAGGAUGAACUUGGUGGGAAAUUUAAAGACAGACUGAAGCUGGACGGUCAGACUGGAGAUCUCAACAUUACAAACAUCAAAACCACAGACCAAGGAGAUUAUGAAGUAACCAACAGCAUCAACACCUUUAGGAAGACCCUCACUGUCAAUGGUGUGUGUCUAAUCCAUUUAAAUGUUAUAAUUGGCUUAUUUACAAAGUUUUCUGUCUGAUAAUUAAACUGCAUAUUUCACAUAAUUUUACAGUGAUAAAGGAAGAAAAACCUACAACAAGUGGUGAGUAUAAAUCUGCACAAUGAAUUAGGGCUGGACAAUAUAUCGAACGAUAUGAUCAUGCGCAUCUAAUCAUAAAAAGAUCUCAAUUCAAACAGACACAAUCUAAUUUCUAAAUAACUGUGAUUCACUGGUGUCUAAUAAUCAUUGACAGAGUCCUACCAGAACAUUCAAAUCUGAAAUUAAAAUUCUGUCAUCAUCAUCUAGUAGUUGUUUUAAACUAGUAGUUUUUUUUUUUUUUUUUUUUUUUUAAGUUGUUCUAAACCUGCAUGAAGUUCUGUUAAACGUAAUGGAAGGUAUUUUGAAGAGUGUAGGUAACCAAACGGAUGCCGGUCCCCAUAGACUUCCACAGUAUAAAAAAAUAAUACUAUAGGAGUCAAUGUGGAUCAGUUUGGUUUCCUAGAUUCUUUAAAAUAUCUUAUUUUGUGUUCAGCACAAGAAAGAAAGAAAUACAGGUUUGGAACAACUCGAGGGUGAGUAAAUGAUGACAGUUUUCAUAUCUAGGAGAACUAUCCCUUUAAUGCACUGAUAAUGUAAGUUAAGAGACAAUGACAUGACUCGCACCUGUUGGUCUAACAGCAACAGCAUAGUAACAACUGCUACAAUGUAUCAAGUAUUUUUAAUUGUUAAAUCUGCAUUAUGUUGUUCUUAUAAUAUUCUAAUUGAAUGAUGGGUUCACACUGCCAUAGACAAAGCAAAUCAAAGAUGGUGAUUUCCAGCAACGACUGAAAGUUGAACUUUAUGCAAAUGAGCAGUGAAGAGAUAUGCUGACUGCAGUGUUGGGAAGGUUACUUUGGAAAUGUAAUAGGUUACAGAUUACAAGUUGACCUAUUUAAAAUGUAAUAGUAGUGUAACUUUUUCAAUUACUUUAUUGAAGUAAAGUAACUGAUUACUUUUGAUAACUUUUAUGAUUACUUUUCUGAAAUCUCUAAUGAAUGUUUAUUUUCAGCUGUUAAUUAGUUUCAAACAUUUACACCACGCAGGGUUAACCUUACAACACUGUCAGACUUUCACAAUCCUUCAUCACCUGAAUUAAGAUGAUCACAUUUGAACACAUCCACCACAAAAUCAGACUUUACUGCCUUUUACUUUGAGAUUGAUCUGAAGAUCAAUGCAGAUUUAAAAUCAUAAGAAAUUGUUUACUGAUACUGUUCUUGAAACCAAAUCUUUGCAUAAACACUGCAUCUAACAAUGGUUUGGGAAAAAAAAUAGUUAAUUAAAAAAUAAUAAUAAAUAAAAGCAUAUCCAUCA